UACGGGGGGGAGCAAGCGUUUGUUCGGAUUUACUGGGCGUAAAGGGUGCGUAGGCGGGUCUUUUAAGUCAGGGGUGAAAUCCUGGAGCUCAACUCCAGAACUGCCUUUGAUACUGAGGAUCUUGAGUUCGGGAGAGGUGAGUGGAACUGCGAGUGUAGAGGUGAAAUUCGUAGAUAUUCGCAAGAACACCAGUGGCGAAGGCGGCUCACUGGCCCGAUACUGACGCUGAGGCACGAAAGCGUGGGGAGCGAACAGG
rnacentral:rRNA from 1 species